rnacentral:rRNA from 1 species
CCUACGGGAGGCAGCAGUGAGGAAUAUUGGUCAAUGGGCGGAAGCCUGAACCAGCCAAGUAGCGUGCGGGAUGAAGGCCCUACGGGUCGUAAACCGCUUUUGCACGGGGAUAACACCCUCCACUUGUGGAGGUCUGCAGGUACCGUGCGAAUAAGGGCCGGCUAAUUCCGUGCCAGCAGCCGCGGUAAUACGGAAGGCCCGAGCGUUAUCCGGAUUCAUUGGGUUUAAAGGGAGCGUAGGCGGGCGUUCAAGUCAGCUGUAAAAUCGCGCGGCUCAACCGCGCCCCGCAGUUGAAACUGGACGCAUUGAGUUCACAACAGGCAGGCGGAAUUCGUGGUGUAGCGGUGAAAUGCAUAGAUAUCACGAGGAACCCCGAUUGCGAAGGCAGCCUGCCGGGGUGCGACUGACGCUGAGGCUCGAAGGCGCGGGUAUCAAACAGGAUUAGAUACCCUAGUAGUC